GACGAACGCUGGCGGCGUGCUUAACACAUGCAAGUCGAGCGGUAAGGCCCUUUCGGGGGUACACGAGCGGCGAACGGGUGAGUAACACGUGGGUGACCUGCCCUCAGCUCUGGGAUAAGCCUGGGAAACUGGGUCUAAUACUGGAUAUGACUCCACGGUGCAUGUCGUGGGGUGGAAAGCCUUGUGCGGCUGAGGAUGGGCCCGCGGCCUAUCAGCUUGUUGGUGGGGNGAUGGCCUACCAAGGCGACGACGGGUAGCCGGCCUGAGAGGGCGACCGGCCACACUGGGACUGAGACACGGCCAGACUCCUACGGGAGGCAGCAGUGGGGAAUCUUGCGCAAUGGGCGAAAGCCUGACGCAGCGACGCCGCGUGAGGGAUGACGGCCU
rnacentral:rRNA from 1 species